AGCUGCUUUUGAAGAAUUUUUUAUUGCAAUUUUUCCUCUGAUUUAUUCAGCGUUUUUUUUUUUAUUCUGUGGUGAAGCUCAAUUUAUAGACAGCUGUGUCAGCAUUGAAAAUAUAAAUACAAGCACAUUUAUAAAUUCGUUUAUUAUAUAUAAAGUUCUAGAUGAAUAUUAACAGACGAGUUGUUAUAGACAUGGCUCUCAGUUUUUAAUCAAACUGGCGGACACUUGGCAAUGUUUCGCGUUUGUGCUAGUACAAAUAUUAGAAGUUCAUAUAUAUGUUUGUUAGAGUCGGCCAGAUUGCCAUUAGAACUAUUGCUGGAAAAUUCAAAUCUUAUAGAUCAAUCAUGGCAUUUCGAUAUCUCAUAAAAAUCGCUCGUUAAUUGAAAUACAUAUAAGAAAAACAAGCACGACUUCUGAAAGCUGUCUGCUCAGGGUAUUCAACCUUGGGUGCUAUGUAAAUAAUAUAUUCUGGUUUAUUUUUCUAUUGAUUGGGUAGCACUUGAACAUUUAAAGCUAGACAAAAUCUUGGGCUUGCGAAUUGAAUUCGAUACGGAUUUAUGGGCUUGCUGUGCGCGUGUUGCAUUUGUUACUGCUUCGGUUUCAAUUUGGGUUUUGGCUAUUGUCAUUGCCAUGGCAAAAAUAUUUUGCUUCCUUCUAAUAUUAAUUCAUGUUUCCCAGGUUGUGUGUGUAAGCGUCUUUUGGCAUGCUUUUCAAACGUAAUGUCGCAUUGUGUCAACUUCUCACUGCUGCUUAUUUGCCUCUUUUGCUCUUGCUUAACUUCAUUCCAACUACCCGCCGUCAGCGAGCCCUGUACGUGGGAUGGGUGUUAAGGGUGCAUUGCUUAAGGACUGUCGCAGCAUAUGAACAUUUUCUAAAUAUUUACAAAGACUUAGGAAUAUUCUAGAGUACGCAUUUUCGUACACUUUCUCAAGCGAUUUCGGUUCCGUUUGUUGUGAGCCCAUGGAUCAAUUAUAACCUGACCUGACCUUUCCGAUGUUCAGUUAACAUGCAAGCAAAUAGGUUUUUGGCAUGUCUCAGCAGUUGUAUGGCUGUUUGUAAAAAACGAAUCCUUAAAAAGCAUUAAAUAAUAUACUGAUAAAUGGCCGCAAGUGUUAAUAAAGGUGGGCUUAGUUAAGUAUGCUAUAUACACAAAAGGUAUUGAACUUGUUAUUUGUAUUAUUUUUCAAAUUGGUUUCAUGGGCUAAAAUUAUAAUUUUAUACUCCAUCAAGUCUAUUUUAAUUUAAAAAAUUGCAAGUUAAUUCCUGAAUUCUAUAAAUGACACAGCUUUGAAGGACUAUACAUAAGGAAGAAUACAAUGAAUGCAACCUUUUAAAUUCUUGAUAAUGAUUCUCCCUGUUUUUCUAUAUUAUCGCAUUAUCGCACACAACUAUUUGAAAACUAUUUAUAACCCGGUAAAAAUUGAUUUUGUAAUUUUUUUUUUAAGCACACAUUUUCGCAUUCCAUUUUUUAUGCUGUGGUCAACCGCCACAAUCCUUUUAUCCAGGACAUCCAUCAAUAUUUGCGUCGAUUAGCACUACAUUUGACAGAUUGACUAGCGCUGGGAUUUAAGGGACAUUUAAAUGUGUGUGUCUGUAAGUUUGCGCGUGUGUCUCGCGUGUGGGCCAGUUUCCGUUGCCAGUCAUCAAUCAAAAAUGGCGACUGCUCGCAAAAGUAUGCUAAUUAUUUGAUAACAAGUCGCGCGCAGUGAAUAAUCGGAGACUGUGUUUUAUAUCGGGGCGUGCAUUUGAAAAUCCUUUGGUCAAUUCGAAAAAGCUCUCUCUCCCAAAGGUUUCAUCAUAAUGCGCACUUGCCUUUUCAAUAGAGCAAUACAAAAAUUAAUCGCAUAUGCACAGGUUAGUUUGGGUGAAGUUCGGAAAGAAAUCGGAUACGUGUUCUCCGAAAACAAUUGACCGAGUUUCCUUUCGUCCUAAAAGUUGUCUUUGGGUUCUACGAGAAUAUGGCUAGAAAGAAAUGUUAUUGGCCAGCACAGUGGCUCAAAACAGUAUGAUUCGCAAGAAUAAUUUGCUGUUGCGGUCUUUCUUUCUUUUAUCUUAAAACAUUUUUGUUGAUAUAUUUAAACAUAGGUGAGUUGGCUUUUAUUUUUGGUAGAGUAUAUUGCAUAUACUCAUUUGGAGGCCAACAAAGCAUUGCGUCCUAGAAAAUAUUUAAGUUCUAAAAGUAAUGGGUCGUACUCCUCUUUGAAUCCGUAUUAUCCAUUAAUCCAUACUAAUAUCUGUCUGCAUAUGUUUGUUCCAUGCCUGUCGCCACUUUUUUUUCCAUAUUUGGUUGCUAAGGUAAAUAUAGUAAAGUUCAGGGAAACUCAAAUUAACUGCAUUCAUUAAUUUCGAAUGAAACUCAAUUAAAGAAGAGACAAUGCACAUUGCAUGCAUUUAUUUGACAUUUACUCAAUAUUAUGGGCCCAACAAACAAAACAGAAAACAUAUAUAAAUAAUAUGUAUAUAAAUAUAUAAAUAUAGAUAUCUAUAUUGCAGUCGGGUGCAAUCGACCGCGUUAUACUUGUUCAAAUGCAAAAAGCCUUAAAUAUAAACAAUAUUACUUUAGAUAAAUCCAUCUUUAUCCAACUUAGGUAACCCAUAAUAAUGAUUUUAAUUAUAUAAUCUGAGCAAUUUUUUGUUGCUAGUAUAAACGGAUAUUAUUCCAAAUUUUAAGAAAAUAUUGCAUCCAUACAAACAGACAAACGGACGAACGGACAGUGCACAAAGUGAAUGUACUCUUUUCCCUUUAUGAACGCGUACAAAAACAAUAGUAAUUAAAUAAUUGACCGCAAUAUUGGCAAAAAGCUGCCUUUAAUUUAAUUUAAGCUGAAUUUUAGAAAAAUAUAAACCAGUUUGUUGGGGAAAAUGUCAUAAAAUUAUGAGCCUAUUGUUGCUGACAAUAUCUAUGUUAGUAUGCACUCUAAGUAUAUACUGUGCAUUUUAAUUGAAGUUUAAUUCAUUUUAUUUGUCAAGGUCGUUUUAUUUCGUAUACUCUGAACACGUUUAAAAUGUGUAAAAAGGUAUAAAGAUUUGUGUGACAGGCAUAAGGAAGUAUUUUCGAACGCAUAAAGUAUGUAUAUUUUUGCUCAGUAUCAAUAGCCGAGUUCAUACUUAUUGACAUAUCCGUCUAUUUGCCUGGCAGUCUGUCCGAACGCGUCGAUCUCGAAAACCAUAAGAGCUAAAGAUAUGAAACUUGCCCAGUUUACAUGAUAUCGAUAAACACCGGUAUCAAAAUCCGUGUUUUUGACCACAUCUCUAAGAUUUUGAAAGCUGGUGACACCAAAUUUGAUAUAUAUACCUUCCUAUUGCAUACAUAGUAUACUUUUCUAUAGUAUAUAUAUGCAUACAUUAAAUGUCACUUUUCGGAUAACUUCCUUCGUUUCCAAAAACUUAAAUAACAGAACCAAGUUUUAUAGCUAUAGUCUUGAGCUUUAGUAUUUACACGCAUUUUGAUGCCAUAUUAAUGCUUUUCAAAUAUCACAAAUAUCGGACGAUAGCAGGAAUGUGUAGAAGGAAGCCAGAAUGUGCGCGUGGGCAGAUCGGCGCGAUGUUGAGGGUAUCUCCUAGCAGAGCACUCCCGACUAGGGCAGUCUUGUGUUUGUUUAUUCUACUUCAAUCAAGUAAUCUUUCAAUAGAUUGUAUAUAAAACAAUUGAAUUAACAGCUAACAAAAAUAUUCCCACUCAUUUUAAGUAUUUAUAUUUUUUAUAUAUUUCUGCAAGCCUGUGUCUUUAUUGGGAAAAAAAAGAAAAAGAAAAUAUUUGUAAACACAACAUGACUGAUUAUUUUGAAAUUCGCCAAUCUGCUGCCCAUCAACAACCUUGAAUUGUGUAUUUGCCGGACUAAGCUCAUAAGUUGCACAUCGUGUUCACAUAAACGGAUUUGUCCUGUUUUGCAUGCGCUGCCACGAGUAUAAAGCAUCAAGCUGCAUUUCCAUUAGAAACAUCGUGGGCGUUUAGGGUGGUUGUAUACGCAAGCAAAUUCUAAUUGGCUCUCGUAUGGACAACGGCAAAAACUAGGGACAGAUUUAUAUAUACACUAUUUAUGCCCCACUUACAGAACUCAAUGGAAUUCAAUUAACUUACUAAGUGGACGUCCAUGCUUUAUAACUGAGCAUAGUCAAGCGAAUAAUUCAUUGAAUUUUGAGCAUAAUAACCAAAUGCCAUUGUUAACGACCAUUAAGGGAUAAACAUAAAUAAGAUUGUCUAAUUGGAUUAUGGCCACAGCGCAACACGUGCGAGCCAAGUAGCUGGAAUAGUCAACUCUUAGAACGUUAAUGAGCGCUAGGUAGAAAAUUUACUGACAAAAUAGGUUUAUACUAAUUUUAAAAUAUUUUAAAAUUCUUAAAUUUGAUUUGCAUAUCAAAUUGGAACAAAUCCACAUGUCAGGAUGGAAAUGGCAGUCAACGGCAAGAAGUUAGAUGAGUGAAACACACUUGGCACGGGCAAAGCCGGGUAACACAUAAGUCUUUAAGCCUCAUAAACAACUUUUUAAUUUCGGCAUCCAAUGUUAGAAUAUAAUACUGAAGCAUAAUUUUCCAAUGAAACACAAAACAUGGGCCUCGCAAUUUAAUAGGAAUUUCAAAGUUUUUCAGCUAUAUUCUCUAAAAUUCUUAAAUUAGACGUACGUCGGCCGUUGGUUGCAUGCCACAUAGUUGCACAUUUGGGUAACAUGUUUUCGAAAUGGGAAGCUUACCUUUUGCUGUUACACUGUUAAUAUUUCAAAUCAAUUUGUUUUCACCAAUUUGCAAUUUUUUCUUGCGUUUAAAUUGAGUUUCAAAGUUUUCUGAAAUCAGCUCAGCUCUUGUUAGGCUACUCAAAUAAAAGUUUUAUGCCUUA